UCUCUGAUUGGUUGUCCAGCCUGUUGUUAUGCUGAUGACCAUAUUGACCCACCUCUGACUAACGUUAGCUUUAGGAUGAAUUUGUGUUCAAGGUCCUCGUUGAUACAGAAAUACUAACCUGUGUGGGAGUAUUCUUCUUCACCUCCUCCUGCCUAACAUUAACAGAAACCUGAACCCCCCCCCUCCCCACGCUGUGGUCCAUCCUCCGUUCUGCUGACAUUUAGGCCGAUAUAUAAACUGCUGCUCCGACGCUCAGAGACAGAAGAUUCCUGCAGUAUAAUACUGAAGUACUGAAGUAGUGUACCACUCACCUGUCUGCCUACCUGUCGUACUGAUCCAGGGACCCGUCUGACCUCAUCAUGCUCUUCAGGAACGUUGUUCUUGUGUUCUCUCUGUUCAUCCUGCUGGUGGAGGCGGACCUCGACUCCAAUGAUGCUGGAAUAAAGGUCACGUCGACAGAUAAAGACUCCACAUCUAAUGAGUCCCCCACAG